rnacentral:rRNA from 1 species
GAUGAACGCUGGCGGCGUGCUUAACACAUGCAAGUCGAGCGAGAUUUCUUAAGAUUAAUCUUCGGAAGCGUCUUGAGAAUGAAAGCGGCGGACGGGUGAGUAACACGUGGGCAACCUGCCUCAUACAGAGGGAUAGCUCCGGGAAACCGGAAUUAAUACCUCAUAAUACUUUGUAUUGCAUGAUACAGAGGUCAAAGAUUUAUCGGUAUGAGAUGGGCCCGCGUCUGAUUAGCUAGUUGGUGAGGUAACGGCCCACCAAGGCAACGAUCAGUAGCCGACCUGAGAGGGUGAUCGGCCACACUGGAACUGAGACACGGUCCAGACUCCUACGGGAGGCAGCAGUGGGGAAUAUUGCACAAUGGGCGCAAGCCUGAUGCAGCAACGCCGCGUGAGCGAUGAAGGUCUUCGGAUUGUAAAGCUCUGUCCUAAGGGAAGAAAAAAAUGACGGUACCUUAGGAGGAAGCCCCGGCUAACUACGUG